UACGGAGGGUGCAAGCGUUAUCCGGAUUCACUGGGUUUAAAGGGUGCGUAGGUGGGCAAGUAAGUCAGUGGUGAAAUCUCCGGGCUUAACCCGGAAACUGCCAUUGAUACUAUUUAUCUUGAAUACUGUGGAGGUCAGCGGAAUAUGUCAUGUAGCGGUGAAAUGCUUAGAUAUGACAUAGAACACCAAUUGCGAAGGCAGCUGGCUACACAAAUAUUGACACUGAGGCACGAAAGCGUGGGGAUCAAACAGG
rnacentral:rRNA from 1 species